rnacentral:rRNA from 1 species
AACGAACGCUGGCGGCAUGCCUAACACAUGCAAGUCGAACGAGACCUUCGGGUCUAUUGGCGCGGGGGUGCGUAACGCGUGGGAACCUGCCCUUAGGGUCGGAAUAACUCCCCGAAAGGGGUGCUAAUACCGGAUAAUUUCUUCUGACCAAAGAUUUAUCGCCUUUGGAUGGGCCCGCGUUGGAUUAGCUAGUUGGUAGGGUAAAAGCCUACCAAGGCGACGAUCCAUAGCUGGUCGGAGAGGAUGCUCAGCCACACUGGGACUGAGACACGGCCCAGACUCCUACGGGAGGCAGCAGUGGGGAAUAUUGGACAAUGGGCGAAAGCCUGAUCCAGCAAUGCCGCGUGAGUGAUGAAGGCCUUAGGGUUGUAAAGCUCUUUUAUCCGGGAUGAUAAUGACAGUACCGGGAGAAUAAGCGCCGGCUAACUACGUG